UCUGAUACCUCAUUCCGGCACUGCCGUUUCCCUGAUGUCUAACUUGUGUGUACCGACCCACGCCUGUCCCUUGACCACCCUUGUAAGCCUGCCGUUACUAUUACCUCUGUUUGUUUGGACUGUCUGCCUGAUCCCCGACCUUGGACCCAAUCAAGGUUUCCUCUGUACUGCCUGCUUGUCUCUGGUGUCGUGCAUUUGGGUCCGCCCUCGAGCCCCAUUCGUGACACCAUGGGUAUGUGGCUGAUCUGAUGGCCAUUGUGGAGGCACUGUGUUGCAGAGUGCAAGAUGAUGAAGAAAGCAUGGACUUUAUGCCUCGAGACGAUCGACUGAGAGAACCUCUGAGUGCAGCCCGUGAAAAACCUGACAAGGAAGAGGCUGUCCGUCUGUGCACAUGUCACUCAUUUUCGAAAAAAAUGAAUUGUGAAAUGUGACCUAUUUGUACAAUGAACAAAAAAUAAACACAUUAAUGUUU